UUAGACUUGUACCAUCGAGGACUAUGGAAAGCGAAAUUCCGUUUACGACGGUUUUAGGGGCAACAGGUAGAUCCGAGAAAGCUGCUAAAAAUACCGACACUUUGAACGCGAUUUUGAGGCCCUAAACGAUCUUGGAUGGCCGAAAAACACCCUUAGCAGUGUGCAACGCUUACUGGUUUUGUUCUCCACGUCGUUUCCUUCGACCCUAGGCCGGCCCGAAAGUCGAAUUCCAAAAUGCCUUCUUUUUGAAUAGUGCUCUAACCAUUGCGCCCUUCGCGGAAAUGCCAAAAAAUAUCCCCCUUCGGGACCCGCUUUCCAC
rnacentral:lncRNA from 1 species